UACAGAGGUCCCGAGCGUUGUUCGGAUUCAUUGGGCGUAAAGAGCUCGUAGGCGGUUUGUCGCGUCUGCUGUGAAAACUCGGGGCUUAACUCCGGGCCUGCAGUGGGUACGGGCAGACUAGAGUGCGGUAGGGGAGACUGGAAUUCCUGGUGUAGCGGUGAAAUGCGCAGAUAUCAGGAGGAACACCGGUGGCGAAGGCGGGUCUCUGGGCCGUAACUGACGCUGAGGAGCGAAAGCGUGGGGAGCGAACAGG
rnacentral:rRNA from 1 species